UGAUUCUGGGAACAUGGCUCGCCUU
rnacentral:misc_RNA from 1 species